rnacentral:rRNA from 1 species
GACGAACGCUGGCGGCGUGCCUAAUACAUGCAAGUCGAGCGAAGUUUUUCUGGUGCUUGCACUAGAAAAACUUAGCGGCGAACGGGUGAGUAACACGUAAAGAACCUGCCUCAUAGACUGGGACAACUAUUGGAAACGAUAGCUAAUACCGGAUAACAGUAUUUCUCGCAUGAGAGAUAUUUAAAAGUUGGUUAUGCUAACACUAUGAGAUGGCUUUGCGGUGCAUUAGCUAGUUGGUGGGGUAAAGGCCUACCAAGGCGACGAUGCAUAGCCGACCUGAGAGGGUGAUCGGCCACACUGGGACUGAGACACGGCCCAGACUCCUACGGGAGGCAGCAGUAGGGAAUCUUCCGCAAUGGGCGAAAGCCUGACGGAGCAACGCCGCGUGAGUGAAGAAGGAUUUCGGUUCGUAAAGCUCUGUUGUUAGGGAAGAAUGGAUAUGUAGUAACUAUACAUAUAA